CAAUAGAUUACAUCUGUGUAAUUGUAUUCAUAUUUAUUCUCCAUGAAAGUAAAGAUACAUUUUUUCUGUAAUUAUUCUGUUCCAAUUUGGUUGAAGAAAAUAAAUAAUUUCAGACUCCUGAUGACGAUUUAAUGUCAGUCUGAAUCCAGUGAGUGAAGUGAACUUUGUGCUGCAUUGAUGAGAAGUUUAGUGAUUGGAGUUCAUGGAGUUUCCAGGAUCAGACUAAAUACAGCUCUGGAAGCUGCUGUCAACUGUGUGAUUGUGUGUCUGUGCUGCUGUCAAACUUCAGAUGAGUCCGUAGUGAAGCCCGUGGUGAGCGUGUACCCAGCAGCAUCCAGAGUCCCUGUGGAGAGGGGCAGCUCCCUGCUGUGUCUGGCCUCAGAAAUGUUUCCUCCUGUGGUCCAGUUCUCCUGGAAAAGACAGAAGAACAACGGACCGCUGGAGGACAUGAUCUCUGAUGGCGAGGAGCUGCAUCUCAGAGAGUCUGGACACAGCGCCUCCAUCCUGUUGGCCCAUCGGCAAAAAGACAGCUCCUAUAAAUACAGCUGCUCUGUCAAGCACGAGGGGGCCACUGUGGAGGCCCAAACACAACAAGAGUUGCCGACACUUCCACCUGUAGUUUCCACAGCAGCUCCAACUUCCCAUUCAACAUCUUCCAGCAUUCUGACUACAGUAACACCCAUUGUUCCCUCCCUGGACCUGGUGUUUCUGUCCUUCCAGUCUGAGUCCAGGGUGAAGCUGCUCUGCCUGCUGUACACAGUGCUGAUAGUGAAGAGUCUGGUGUACUGCUGUGGACUCUCUCUGCUGAUGAUCCUCAGAAACAAGGGAGCAUCCACCAACUCCAAACAUGCUGACUGACUGUUUUCUGAUCAUCUUUUCUCUCCACCAAAUCUCAUCCUUUCAUCUCAUUCAUCACUUUAAUCACAGCUCUCAAAUACUUUUGAUGACUUGAUAUAGAUUCGUCAUCAAACUGACUUGUGGAAGUGUAACAUUGCUUUAUUCUGCUUUAACAUUUUGAAUAUUAUCAACUUUUCACAUUUAUUUGCAACAAUAUUCUAAAAUAAAC
rnacentral:lncRNA from 1 species